rnacentral:rRNA from 1 species
AUACGGAGGAUGCGAGCGUUAUCCGGAUUUAUUGGGUUUAAAGGGUGCGUAGGCUGUGCGUUAAGUCAGGGGUGAAAUGCCGUCGCUCAACGACGGAGCUGCCCUUGAUACUGGCGUGCUGGAGUACGGAUGCCGUUGGAGGAAUGAGUGGUGUAGCGGUGAAAUGCUUAGAUAUCACUCAGAACACCGAUUGCGAAGGCAGUUGACGAAUCCGUCAAUGACGCGGAGGCACGAAAGCGUGGGGAUAGAACAGGAUUAGAUACCCUGGUAUUCCACGCCGUAAACGAUGAUGACUAACCGUCGGCGAUAGACAGCCGGUGGCCAAGCGAAAGCGAUAAGUCAUCCACCUGGGGAGUACGUCGGCAACGAUGAAACUCAAAUGAAUUGACGGGG